rnacentral:rRNA from 1 species
UGAGGAAUAUUGGGUCAAUGGGGCGUAAGCCUGAACCAGCCAAGUCGCGUGAGGGAUGACGGCCCUACGGGUUGUAAACCUCUUUUACAAGGGAAUAAAGGGCGCCACGUGUGGUGUUUUGCAUGUACCUUGUGAAUAAGCAUCGGCUAACUCCGUGCCAGCAGCUGCGGUAAUACGGAGGAUGCGAGCGUUAUCCGGAUUCAUUGGGUUUAAAGGGUGCGUAGGUGGCCUCUUAAGUCAGCGGUGAAAGUCAGUGGCUCAACCAUUGAACUGCCGUUGAAACUGGGGAGCUUGAGUACGUACGGGGCAGGCGGAAUGCGUGGUGUAGCGGUGAAAUGCAUAGAUAUCACGCAGAACCCCGAUCGCGAAGGCAGCCUGCCAGGCCGUGACUGACACUGAUGCACGAAGGUGCGGGUAUCGAACAGGAUUAGAUACCCUGGUAGU